ACGAGAGGCUCAGUUGAUAUUCUACGGCGUAAGGCGUGAUUAGAGAAAACAAAAACUAAAGCCGAACACCUUCCUAACUGUUAUACGUUUAAAGAGGCAUGAAGCCCUGUAACGAAAGUAGCUUUAAUAAAUAACCUUGAACUCACGAAAAUUAAGAAACAAACUGGGAUUAGAACCCCCACUAUG
rnacentral:rRNA from 1 species